rnacentral:rRNA from 1 species
UGAGGAAUAUUGGGCAAUGCCCGCAAGGGUGACCCAGCAACGCCGCGUGGAGGAUGAAUGUCGUAAGAUUGUAAACUCCUGUUAUAUGGGAAGAACCGUCCUCAUUGAUGAGUGACCUGACGGUACCAUAGGAAUAAGCACCGGCUAACUCCGUGCCAGCAGCCGCGGUAAUACGGAGGGUGCAAGCGUUAUCCGGAUUCACUGGGUUUAAAGGGUGCGUAGGCGGAUAUGUAAGUCAGUGGUGAAAUCAACGGGCUCAACCUGUUAACUGCCAUUGAUACUGUGUAUCUUGAAUAUGAGAGAGGUAGGCGGAAUGUUGCAUGUAGCGGUGAAAUGCUUAGAUAUGCUACGGAACACCGAUUGCGAAGGCAGCUUACUAUUUCGUAAUUGACGCUGAGGCACGAAAGCGUGGGUAGCGAACA